CGUCAGGUCUAUAUGUAUCGAGGAUAAAAUCAAACUGCGUUGUAUUUUGCCGAGUGCUGUUUUGUUCCUCUGGGUUUUGUUGACCACCACAAAGAAGUUUCAAACGAAAUUCUGAUGUUAUUUUGGAUUAGAUACGACAGCGUGAAGUGUUAAUAGGACGAAGAUGCACCUCGAAUGAAUGAUUAAUGGGUACCCCUGUAUAGGAAAGAACUGUACGAAGAACAGCGAAAGGCGGCCGGGUUCAAGAUAAAUUGACACUGGUGCACGACUAGAUCUAAGAUUAUCCCCUGAUCAUCUUAACGGUCUUAGAAUCUACACCGAUACAUCUUACCUUACCAAGAUGAGUGAUGUUUGUGCGCCACUUAACCUACACAUCGGCAUCGUCCUAUUAACAGCAUCCCUUGUUACAGCUCGAACAGAAAUUGACCGCCACGUGGUCCGUGAUGGAAUGAGCAAGUAUACAUUUGUCAACGGAACUCAGAGGAAUUGCUUACCUAUCUUAGAACCUGACUUCUGUGCUGAGGGUCACCAAAUAGAGCCGUGUUUCCAUGACAAGGAGAAAGAUCGGUGUGUCCCUUGCAGAGAUGGGGAAGAACAGUUGGACAAAACAUACUCCAACUUCAAACCUGCGUGCUAUAUCCACUCCUGCCCAGAGGGCACCAUCCCUGGCAAGCGGGACCCAUCUUCUGGGUGCAGCUUGCCAUGUAGAUGUAAGAGUGAGAUGAUGGCGAUGAAUGAGGACUGUAGCUGCCAUCGUGUCGAGGUCAAGUGUGGAAGCAACACCUACCUCAAAAAUGGAGUCUGCAAGCCAUGUUCGGCAGGAACCCACAAGCCCGGCAACGGCGCCGGCCCCUGUGUCACCAAGACGUCGCCAAUAUCACAUACCUCAGAGCCAGUCACAGCAACAGCAUCACCUGCAUUGUCUGCAUCUGAAAUAAACACAACGUCAGGUGUACAUUAAGGAAUCUCAUUAAGAACAUCACAGGAAAAAAGAUGACUAAUGGUGACCUUGAGGCAGAAGAGAAUCCUCCCAACCACAGAUCAUCAAACGAUCAGAACAUGUCUAUACUGUAUAUCACCAUAGCAACAUUACUUGCCAUUAUAGUUCUCGUG